AGUGAACGCUGGCGGUAGGCCUAACACAUGCAAGUCGAACGGCAGCACAGUAAGAGCUUGCUCUUACGGGUGGCGAGUGGCGGACGGGUGAGGAAUACAUCGGAAUCUACUUUUUCGUGGGGGAUAACGUAGGGAAACUUACGCUAAUACCGCAUACGACCUACGGGUGAAAGCAGGGGAUCUUCGGACCUUGCGCGAUUGAAUGAGCCGAUGUCGGAUUAGCUAGUUGGCGGGGUAAAGGCCCACCAAGGCGACGAUCCGUAGCUGGUCUGAGAGGAUGGUGAGCACCACUGGAACUGAGACGAGGUCCUGGCGCCUACGGGAGGCAGCGUUGGGGAAUGUUGGACAAUGGGCGGAAGCGUGAUCCAGCCAUACCGGGUGGAUAAAGAAGCCGUUCGGAUUGCCAAGGCCUUUUGUUGGGAAAGAAAAAAAGAAGGUCCAUACCCCGCUGGUCUGACGGUAACCAAAGAAAAAGAACCGGCCAACUUCGUG
rnacentral:rRNA from 1 species